GGGGCUUUAACGGUUUCGACGUGGUGGCGAAAGCUACUCUAUGAUUCAGGUCGAGAGUGAGUCGUCUCUCGAAAAUCAAAGACUCAAAAAAAAAGUAAAUGCGAACAACAUCGUACCUUUUGCUCGUAAGCAAGCUGUAGUAGCUGCCUAAUAAUCUCUAACAGAUUCGAGCGUCUCUAGUUUGACUCCGUUAAGGGCUAGAGACCAACCCCCAACGGAUGCUCUAGCAAGUCUCUCUGGUUGGCUUGUUAGCUAAGACUUAACCAGAGCAUCCUAGCGUUCGGGAUAAUGAACGUUUCCCGCCUUGAGGAUCAGAAAGGCUAAACCUGUGAAUGAGUGGGGGGUCAAUACCCAUUGCGGACAUGGGUUCAAUUCCCAUAAGCUCCACUU
rnacentral:tmRNA from 1 species